CGUAGUCGUGCUCGACGGACAUUUCAGUCGCUAAUUAAUGUUUCUUUUCCCAAAAUCGUUGGCGGGGGGGGGGGGGGAGGAAAAAAUUUUCGGACAUACCAUUUUUCACAAACUUCCGAACUAAUGUACAGUAAUUUGUACAAUUUUUCAAUAAUAUUUUCGUAAAUUUAUCAAAAUUUUCCGCCUACAACUAUUAUAUUUCAAUAAAUUAAUAUGUAAAAUUGUUUGCUCAAUUACAUAUUUUUUGCCCGACGAGCGUGUCGUUGAAAUUGUUAAACUUACCCAACGAAACUACAAUAUUACAAUAUUGGGGGGGGUGUCCCCCCCCCCACCCCCCUGUAGACGGCCCUGCACAAACUCUAACCCUAACUAAUAAUAAUCCUAACCUAACCCUACUCCAAGUUUGUUUCUAAACCAAUCUUGAAGAAAAACGUUUUGACGAAUGUCAUUCUGAGGUCAGCGAACUGACCUUUUCCUUAAGGAUACAACUAGAGACGCCAACAUUCACAUGAAAAGUACAAGGAGAAAAAAUAAUAUCAGAAAUAAUAGUAUGAUGUUAAUACUAAUAUGGUUGGGUAUUAAACUCCGUGUAAUAAUUUAUUAUUUAAUAUGAUGUAAUUAUAAUAUGACUGUAAUUAAUAUGACUGUAUUAGUAUUACUGUAAUGAUACUAAUAUGACUGAUUGGGUAACUCCGUGUACUAAUUUAUUAUUUAAAAAACAAGAAUGAAGAUCAAGAAGUAACUAAAUAAAAAUAAAAUUUAGAAAAUGGGGAAAAAAGAAAAAUUUAUUAUUUAACAUGACUGUAAAAAUUUGUUAUUUAGUAUGACUGUAAUUAUAAUAUAACUGUAUUAAUAUGACUGUUAUAAUAUUAAUAUGAUUCGAGGAUCAACAGUAAUUGGUCUAUGCUGUUGUGGUGAUCCUGUCAUUAGUUUAUGUGCCAAAGUUAAAUAAAAUAAAUGUGGAACUCAUUAAUAAUUCAUGAAGAAAACACAAACGUAAUCAAGAACGUGAUGGAGUUUGUAUAUCUGAUACAGAAAUCAUGCUGAUUUACAUAAACUUUAAAUUCAAUUUUCUCACCAAAUAUCAUUCAUUUAUUUGAAAUUCCUGAAGAAUACGACGUUUCACAACACGGCUGCCCACGAUGUAAAUCAUUUAUCUCGCAUUGUUUUUGGUAAUUACCUCAAUCACUGGCUUUAAUGGCAUGCACAGGGCUUACUUGUGUAACAAAAUCUACAUCUACAACAUUAGAUGUUAUUAUCACUAACUGUCUACAAUAUUUUUUCCCAUUCGAGUACAUAUACUGUAGUUCAGCAUCGAAUUGUGACCACUCUCACACAUAUAUGUGAAAUUGAAGAUUCCUUACUAUAUAAGUAGUCUUUCAAACGACGUAUUUGGGAUUUUUCCAUUGUCAAUAAAGCUCAUUUAUGUUGGUUUUGUGGUUAUUUAUCUAAUAGAGAGUUGUGAUAGAGGGGCAAUGUUCGAGCAGUAGCUGGUGUUCCACAAGGUCCUCUGCUCGGCCCAAUAAUUUUUUUAUAAAGAUAUAAAUUAUAUUUCUAAAUAUACUGUGGCUAUUUUCUUUAUGCUGAUCACACAUCCCUACUUGAAAUGGUUGGAAAUUUAUCAUCGUCUGAUAUUAAGUAGGGCUGCAUGAAAUGAUUGAUUGUGAUCACUCUUACAUAUAUGCAAAAUUGAAGACUGCGUACUAUAAGCAGUCUUUCAAACGGCAUAUUUGGGAUUUUGCCAGUGUCAUUGCAGCACAGAUUAAUGAGAGGGGACCCACUUUUGGUGUCGUAGUCGUUUAUCUGAUAGAGAGUUGUGAUAGAGGGGCAAUGAUUAAGGUAUCUUGAAGCUGGUGUUCCACAAGGUUUUCUGCUCGGCCCAUUAAUUUUUUUAUAAAGAUAUAAAUGCUAUUUGAUGAUAACAAUCUUUAUUCAGGAGGCAUUCUCACAGAAGUGAUUUUCAGAAUGGACCUGUACUAUAGAACUAGUAUUAUACAAAGUGAAGAAUAUUAUAUCUAAUCUAUUUACAUGUGGUCAAAAGUUAAAAAUAUCAUAAAUUAUCUAUCAUUACAAUAGUAUACUUGCUGAACUGGUAAAAGUUUAAAAGUCGAGAAGAACAAUAGUACAUCAUGGCCGACAGUCAAAAACUUUGGAUUUAAAUUGAGAUAUUGUCUGGGCAUUUUGACAAUCCGACUCAAGGUUGUUAUAGUCAUACACAGCAUGAUAAGUGACUUUAUGUUUACCCCAAUUUGACCUUGUCUUGGGUAAAUGAAGAAAGCAACUCUGUCGAGUAUUAUAAUUAUGAAUACUGCUAUUAUAUACUAAAUUAAAGUCAAAGUUUAUGUGAUUAUUUAAACAUUUAAAAAUUAAGAUGCAUCGAUGGGCACGUCUUCUUUCACUCAGUCGUUUCCAUUUUAAAGUUGACAGAGCCUCUGUUGACGAAAAGGAUAUUGGUUUGUUCAAUAUAAUUUUUGCUGCUUUACUUUGUUGGACUUGUAAAUCGUUCAUCAAUGAUAUAUUGUUUUUGUCACCCCAUAUCACAUCCCCAUAGUCAAAUAAAGGGAGAACAAGGCAAUUUCUAAAUAUACUGUGGCUG